rnacentral:rRNA from 1 species
CCUAGGUCGGAUUAGCUAGUUGGUGAGGUAAUGGCUCACCAAGGCGACGAUCCGUAACUGGUCUGAGAGGAUGAUCAGUCACACUGGAACUGAGACACGGUCCAGACUCCUACGGGAGGCAGCAGUGGGGAAUAUUGGACAAUGGGCGAAAGCCUGAUCCAGCCAUGCCGCGUGUGUGAAGAAGGUCUUCGGAUUGUAAAGCACUUUAAGUUGGGAGGAAGGGUUGUAGAUUAAUACUCUGCAAUUUUGACGUUACCGACAGAAUAAGCACCGGCUAACUCUGUGCCAGCAGCCGCGGUAAUACAGAGGGUGCAAGCGUUAAUCGGAAUUACUGGGCGUAAAGCGCGCGUAGGUGGUUCGUUAAGUUGGAUGUGAAAUCCCCGGGCUCAACCUGGGAACUGCAUUCAAAACUGUCGAGCUAGAGUAUGGUAGAGGGUGGUGGAAUUUCCUGUGUAGCGGUGAAAUGCGUAGAUAUAGGAAGGAACACCAGUGGCGAAGGCGACCACCU